GUGUUCACUUUGGCAACACAUAUACUAAAAUCGGAACGAUGCAGAGAAUAUUAGCAGGACCCCUGUGCAGGAAUGACAUGCAAAUUUGUGAAGCAUUCCAUAUUAUA
ensembl:snRNA U6 U6 spliceosomal RNA